UACGUAGGUGGCGAGCGUUGUCCGGAAUUAUUGGGCGUAAAGGGCGCGUAGGCGGCGACUUAAGUCAGAUGUGAAAACCCGAGGCUCAACUUCGGGCGUGCAUUUGAAACUGGGUUGCUAGAGUGCAGGAGAGGAAAGUGGAAUUCCUAGUGUAGCGGUGAAAUGCGUAGAGAUUAGGAGGAACACCAGUGGCGAAGGCGACUUUCUGGACUGUAACUGACGCUGAGGCGCGAAAGCGUGGGGAGCAAACAGG
rnacentral:rRNA from 1 species